rnacentral:lncRNA from 1 species
GCCUUCUGGUUUUCUAUGUCACAGAAAUUGACCAGUCAGUGAACCCAGGUCUCUUGCAUUGUAGGCAGAUGCUUUACCAUCUGAGCCACCAGGGAAGUCAACCAAAUACUAGUAAACUGCAGAUUCAAACACAGGCAAAUCCUCCCAGGUCACAGAUGUAGCAAAUAUUUUAAAGGUCUAGAUAGCCAGUAUUUUUGUCUUUCUAGAUCAUCCGACCUCUACUGAAGCUACUGACUCAGAUCCUCUAGUCCCCUAACUACCUUAGAUAAUAAACAAAUGGAUAUGGUUGUUCCAGUAAAAUUUUAUGUACACAUACAUAUGGCUGAUGUUCAUAGCUUGCCAACUCCUACCCAGAUGAUUAAAUAGCCAGGGAAAUAAUGCCUAAGUGUGACACUGAGGGCACAUGAAGUUAUCUAUUAAUAAUUUUGGUUCAUUUUUCUCAACAGAAUCAAACUGUGAAUGGGGCCUCCUGAACUUGCUGCUGCAGCCCCACCCCUCGACCACCUAUGUGGAUUCAGCAGAGCAUCUAUGUUUAUUCAGAUGGACCACACUCUCUCCCUCCCUGUCCUCAUCAGUAUUGUCUGGACCAUGGUUGUCUCCGACCCAAACUCAAAAUCUGAUAUGGAAGAAUGAUGCAGCUCACCCCUGCGGAGAGACAGAAGUCACCAAUAUCCUCCCUUGUCUUCCCCCACUCCUAAAAGGAACUUAGAAACAUUAAAAAGAAUGACCUUGAGCAUCCACAUCUCUACUG